rnacentral:lncRNA from 1 species
GGAGCUAUUGUCACCAGGGAAUAAUUUCCAGAGCUCUUUCUAGGCUUACAAGGUGCUGAAUGAGAAGUUUUAGUGGAAAGACACAGAAUUAGGUUUUUGGAGUCUGAAGUCACAAGUUUUAAUUCCGGCUUUACUUCUUACUACUUUAGGGGUUUGGACAAUUCCUUCUCCUCUCUGAGUCUCAGUUUCCUGAGUUAUAAAGAGAUUGAACUUGAUUUCUGCUAUAAAUAUUUUGGAAACCCCAAGUGGGGUCACGGAGAGUCAGACACGACUGAACUUCGUGCUUGCAGGUCCGAGAUGACCAUCACCCCGAGCUGCCACCUCCGAGGAGGCUUAGAAACAGACCUGUGGCAGCAGAGGGCUGCGAGAGGGGCUGUGGGAACGGCAGCCUGGGUUCCAGGAAGCACCAGAUUCCUAGAGGAGGAGGCUCACAGAUGGGCCAAGUAAAUAGACCUAGACAACAGAGGGACACACUUGGGAACCUGUGUGCCAUUUUUGAUCAGACACGGCCAUGUGGCGGAGCGGGUGCAGGGACAAAACAGGUCUGAUCAUCUCUCCAAAAUGCCCCACCCAGGCUAGCACU